rnacentral:lncRNA from 1 species
UCCAGCCUAGUGGCGUCCAAUGCUUUCACCAUUCACUCAUAUUUGACCUUUUCUCAUGCCACUCAUAUCUAAAGCAUAUGGCCUGGCUCUUGAGGAGUAUCGAAAGUAGCCUGCGAACAAGAUAACACCAAAUGAAGUGUAAUAGCACUAUAACAUCAAAAUAUUAAAGAUACGCUUAUAGCAUGACAGUCACACCUCUUCAGCGACCAUGUAAAUACACACACAAGUUCAGUGGCAGAGAAAUAAUGAUUUCACAUUAUGAUUUGGUACGAUCUUCCAAAAAACACUUGCACACAAAGAGGAUACAAAUUGAAUUUACACAAGGGAAAGGUCAUUUGUAGUAAUUCAAUAAAAGUAAUUAGACAGGUAGAGGCAUUGUAAUUGCUAGCAAUCUGUGGCAGCACUAAAUGAAUAUCACCGGGCUUUGUUUUUGAAUUUAUGGCAGGGGAGAACUGCUAAACCUUUCCUUUCAAAUACCAUUUAGACUUUAAUUUUCUGCAUAAACAAUAUUUACAAAAUCAAGCUCGACAAUGAAAGUAAGCGAAUGAGUAUAGAACUAUGGCAUGUCGACAAGCAAACAGUGCACUGAGAAAAGAACAGAAUACUCAUAACAAUAUUAGCACCAAAGACUAGCACAUCGGAGAUGCUCUACAUAAUUGCAAUACUAAAUUAAGUCCAGAACCAACAUUCAUCUUUCUCACUAACCUCUCCUACCACUAAAUAAACCUUCCUUUAUCUCUGAGCAAAAGCACCUAAACAACUGAUUGAUUUUUCUUACCAAGGAUGAGCAUGCCACGGAUUGUUUGUUGUCUCACACCCACUGGGAA